ensembl:lincRNA
GUUUGUCAACCUGAGAGAAUGUACCUGGACAUCACUAAUGACAGCAAUCUAAUGGCAGUUUCUAAACAAUCUAGAGCACAAGACUUUAAUAAAGCAGAGAGUGAACUCUCGAUUUGAAAUUUGCUUUGUGUGUGUGCCUGUGUGUGUGUCAGUGGGUGAGGGGUGGGAAGGGUUUUGUGGGGUGGGGGAGACUGCCUCAGGAACUUAUUUCUCUCUCUCUCUCUCUCUCUCUCUCUCUCUCUCUCUCUCUUGAUUCUGAGAACUCUGAAAGCAAAGCAUGGCAAGGCCUUUCAUUACACUUAGCAUUUCUAAGCACGCCUGACUAGAGGACACUCAUGUAAAUAUGCAUGUCUAUGUAUCUCUAGGAAUAAAGGCUUAGGCUGAAGAAAUAAGAUCUUUUGAGGCAGAGGCAGAGACAGUGGCAGCAUAUAACCAGUGUGUGGGUCUUGGUGAAGAAACAGUACUGCCACUAGUGCUAGCCGUGUAUUACUGACACUCUAGCUCAUAGUCAUCACCCAUCACCCCCAGGAUCUGUGACCAGCACUCACUCAUGUUGCACUUGGGGUAGAAGGAAGGCUGCCAACUGCAGAGGGCCAGGCAGGCAAUGGUGUCUGGUGGGGCGCCCAGCAGGGAUCUGGAGGGGAGGGGAGGCAGACUAGCAGGGCGGGGCUCCCGCCACCCCACCAGUGCUGCUCUGUUGCUCGGGUCCUCUGAAGCCGCCAGCUGCCAACUGAAACCCGAAACCCGGCUGCGUCUGCGGGCUGGCCCUGCUCAGUUGUUCCAGCCUCUUGUACUGUAUAUUUACACAUUCACACACAAUCACUCUUUCUAACUUCUGGAGUCCUUGCGCAACUGCUAGGAUUUCUCAAGUGCAUGUGGCAACUCAGCCCGGGUGAAAGAAAGCCAGUGGGAUUCCGGAGAUCGCAGGCCCGCGGGACCGCCAGGCUGCAGAGGGGGCUGCGGAGGGGACAGAACCAGAGCGAUACAGACGGCUGGGGCUUCCCCCCAACUUUCCGCGCAGCUGCGGCUGACUCUGUGGCCACAGGGCUUCCUCCUCCAGAGCAGCUCGCAGGCCGGGCGAAUGGGGCUCCUCUGCACUUGCCCUGGCUGUGGGAAGUAAAGGGCACCCGCCCGCCUGAACUCAUCUUUUGGCCAGUCCUAGGACCUUGGGAAGUCGGAUCAGUCGCGGUCCGCAUAGGUCCCUCGUCCUCAGCAGGGUCUGGUUUCUCUACCUCAUCCAAGAAGAUGUUCACUGAGACUUGGAAACUUGAAAGAUUCAGACUGCAUUCCAGACUGGGUAAGCCUUGUGGCCAUGACUAUGCUUCACUCGCCAGCUUGAAGGACCAUUCUCCUCUUUGUAAAAACUGUUCCAGCAGCACCAAGAGUGUAGAUAGCCCUCAGAGAAUGAAUACAUGAACAAUACAGAAGAAAGUGUGUUCUCUGUGCAUGGGAUUUUGACUGAUAUGGAAAAGGCCAUCAGCUUGAAAAUGGAAGAGAACAAUGAUACUACGGAGAACUCCCAAGUCCAAGGGCGUCAGAAUGCCACCAAGUGUGGGUGGCUGAGGAAGCAAGGAGGCUUUGUCAAGACUUGGCAUACCCGCUGGUUUGUCCUCAAAGGGGAUCAGCUUUAUUAUUUCAAAGAUGAAGAUGAAACCAAGCCCUUG